AAACAGAUAGGUUUGGUCCUGACCUUUUUAUUAGUUCUUUGUAAGAUUACACAUGCAAACACCCCUACCCCAGUGAAAAUGUCCUCUAGAUCACCCGGAUCAAAAGGAGCAGGUAUCAAGCAUGCACAAAUGCAGCUCAAAACACUUUGCUCAACCACACCCCCACAGGAAACAGCAGUGUUAAAUCUAGUAAUAAACAGAAGUUUAACUAAGCUAUACUAAUAUUUAGGGUUGGUUAAUUUCGUGCCAGCCACCAUGGCCAUACAGUUAACCCAAGCUAAUAGAACUUGGUGUAAAGAGUGCUAAGCUCCAUCUAAAUUGUAAAAAACUCCAGUUGAAAUAAAACAUACUACCAAAGUAGCUUUAAUACCCUGAAGACACAGUAGCUAAGACAAGAACUGGGAGGAUUAGAUACCCCUCUAUGCUUAGCCCUAAACCCUAACAGUUACAUUAACAAAACCAUUUGCCAGAGUAUACAAGCAACAGUUUAAAACUCAAAGGACUUGGUGGUGCUUUAUAUCCCUCUAGAGGAGCCUGUUCUAUAAUCAAUAAACCCCGAUACGUCUCACCACCUCUUGCCCCUGGCCUAUAAUGCCCAUCUGCAGCAAACCCUAAAAAGGUUAUAGAGUAAGCACAAGUAUACGCAUAAAAACGUUAGGUCAAGGUGUAGCCCAUGAGGUGGCAAGAAAUGGGCAACAUUUUCUAUGUCCAGAAAAUCUCAUGACAGCCUUAUGAAAGCUAAGGGCUUAAGGAGGAUUUAGCGGUAAAUCAAGAGCAGAGUGCUUGGUUGAAUAAGGCCAUGAAGCACGCACACACAGCCCAUCACCCUCCUCGAAUACUACUCUAGAAAUCACUAUUACUGAUAAUUUUCUACACAGGUAUAGAGCAGAUAAGUUGUAACAUGGUAAGCGUACUGGGAAGUGCGCUUGGAUAAACCAAAGU
rnacentral:ncRNA from 1 species